AUUGAACGCUGGCGGCAGGCCUAACACAUGCAAGUCGAGCGGAUGAAGGGAGCUUGCUCCUGGAUUCAGCGGCGGACGGGUGAGUAAUGCCUAGGAAUCUGCCUGGCAGUGGGGGAUAACGUCCGGAAACGGGCGCUAAUACCGCAUACGUCCUGAGGGAGAAAGUGGGGGAUCUUCGGACCUCACGCUAUCAGAUGAGCCUAGGUCGGAUUAGCUAGUUGGUGGGGUAAAGGCCUACCAAGGCGACGAUCCGUAACUGGUCUGAGAGGAUGAUCAGGCACACUGGAACUGAGACACGGUCCAGACUCCUACGGGAGGCAGCAGUGGGGAAUAUUGGACAAUGGGCGGAAGCCUGGUCCAGCCAUGCCGCGUGUGUUAAGAAGGUCUUCGGAUUGUAAAGCACUUUAAGUUGGGAGGAAGGGCAGUAAGUUAAUACCUUGCUGUUUUGACGUUACCAACAGAAUAAGCACCGGCUAACUUCGUG
rnacentral:rRNA from 1 species